GGCUUGCUCUGGAGAACAGCCAGGUAUUUACAGAGUAAUAGGAGAUUUGGUGGGCAAUUGAUGAUCAAUAAUGAGGCUGCAUCUUUGACUUUCCAGAUCUGAACAUUUCAAUUAGCCGCCACAUUGCUAAUAGCUAAGGGCCUACACUAAAUGAUCUGCUUUGGAUGGUUGAGUUUCCAGAUACCUGAGAUGGACAGGUUAUCCUGGCUUCAGCUGUGGACAACGAUGCUUGGGAUAAACCUUGGAGAAACGCGUUCACAGUGUAUGCUAUAUGUACGAUGCAGCCCCUCUUGUUCUUGGCCAGGGUUAAGUCAACUGCAUUUGAUAAUGGUCUACCUAUGGCUCCUGAUGAAGUGUUUCUGGGAGAUUGAUGCCCUGUAACCUCAGUGUAGCAAAGAUUUUAUGAGUUUCAAUACCAUCCCACUGAUUGCAACAUCAGGAUUGAGGUCCUCCCAGAAGAUCAUCUCCUUUUUGUAUCUAAAAUCAUCUUUAAGUCCAAGUUCUCGGAUCUUGAAGCUUCAAUCCCUGUGGCCUGUGCUGUCCCUCGAACAACUACCUUAAUGUGCAGUUUCACCCCUUGAAAAAAUCACACAGCUCAUCUUUCUCCACCUGAGAAUUUUGAAGCUGACUCAACCCUCUGUAGCACCACUGCACAUUAGAAGCUGAAUUUCUGUCUAAGGAUCCCGUUUGUUAUCUUACAUUUUUAAAUGUUUUAGAUGAUUUGAUUUUAAAUGGAAUGCCCCUUUGUUGUUUUAUGAUCCCUUAUUAAGUAGGGUCUGCCUCUCUCUUUAACCUCAUAAGGACUUAUAAUAAAAUG